CACGUAGUUAGCCGGAGCUUCCCCCUAAGGUACCGUCAUUAUCGUCCCUUAAGACAGAGGUUUACAAUCCGAAAACCUUCUUCCCUCACGCGGCAUCGCUGCAUCAGAGUUUCCUCCAUUGUGCAAUAUUCCCCACUGCUGCCUCCCGUAGGAGUCUGGGCCGUGUCUCAGUCCCAAUGUGGCCGUUCUACCUCUCAGUACGGCUACUGAUCGUCGCCUUGGUGAGCCGUUACCUCACCAACAAGCUAAUCAGACGCGAGCCCAUCUUUAAGCGAUAAAUCUUUGAUACACAAACCAUGCGGUUCGUGUAUGUUAUGCGGUAUUAGCGGUCGUUUCCGACCGUUAUCCCACUCUUAAAGGCAGGUUGCUCACGUGUUACUCACCCGUCGCCACUAACUUAGAGAGCAAGCCCUCUCAAGUCCGUUCGACUUGCAUGUGUUAAGCGUGCCGCCAGCGUUCGUCCUGAGCCAGGAUACAAACUCU
rnacentral:rRNA from 1 species